rnacentral:lncRNA from 1 species
GGCGUGGAGAGGGGGACGAGCCCGGCAGGGGGAGCGCGGGGCCGGGAGCGGAGCGCGGGCGGCGCUGCUUGAACGGGAAAAGGAGUUGUAAGGUUACGGCUUCAGCCCCACACGGGCGGCUCAGUGCGCACAACUGUCAGCCCGGGGCCACAGCACAGCUCGGAGACGGCCAGAGCGGCACAAAGCAGCAGAUCCGACUCAGAACUGUAUUCACAUCUACACUAAUCCUGAGUAAUCCUUGGCGGACUGUGAGCCGCGCACUAAUGGAAGCCCUACCCAAACCAACAGAGGAAUGAUGCUGUGCGUACGGCCCGCAGCGGUGGGAUGGAGGCAGUGAGGAAGCACAGAGCAGCAGAGGGGAUGGAAGCCCAAACGAGCUGCUCCAUUUCAAAUGAGUUAAGCUAUGUCACAGACACAACUGGUGCUGAACAAGAUGACUUACCCUGUGAUGGAGGUGGGGGAAUAGCCUGUGAACACCAUGACAAGUC